UGGAUCUGGCAACGAGGAAGAGAGGCAGAGGAAUUGUAGAAGAGAAGUGGAGACGAAAUUAGAAGAGUCGGAGAGACCAAGAUAGAUCUAUAAGGCGGAUUGAGAGAGGGAGAGGGAGGCACGACAGAGGCGGCGACGGUGGAUUUGAUAAAAACAGAUGCAAAGUAGAGGCUGCGUUGAAUCUAAGCAUAAGGAGGCUCAAAGAUGAGGGAGCCAGGGAGGGAGAGAAGAGUUGAAGCAAUGGAGAAGAGGAAGAGGAGGAAGAAGAGGAGGAGAAGAGGCGGCAAAAAAGGACAAAGGAAUGGAGGCAGUGGAGAGGGAUAGAGAAAGUGAGACAGUGGUUGGGGUGGGAGGUAUGGAGGAAGAAAGGAGGCAAUGAGAAAGAAGAUGAGAAAUAAGAGAAAAAAGAAGUGGAUCACUUUACAUAUACACACUCCCUUGAAUUUCAAAUUUCGAAUUCAAAAUCAAUUAAAAAAGGGAUUCAUUCCCAAUUUCCCAUCAUCUACGUCUCCAUUCUCUGUUUCCAUUUUUCUCUCUUCCUCCUCUUCUUCUUCGAUUCUUCUCCUUCAUCGUCAGUUCCUCCUCUUUUUUUCCCUUCCUUCAUUCGUUUCUUCUUCCUGUUCCUAAUCUAAGUUGGAGAUGAAAGUUAUAAAGUUCAUGCACUCACCAAGGCAGAGGAUGUCAUUGUACCUCAUGGCUCCAACCUUCAGGGGAGUCGUCGCAGUGGAGGCAAUGCCAGCGGUGGUGGUAGGGUUACGGCGGUGGAUGAGGUGCCGAUUGCUAUGGUGGUAGACGAUGGUAUGGCGUGGUGGUCGCAACUGAUGCGGUGGAGUUCGUGAUAAUCAUCGAUGUGUGGUGAUGGAUACGGAAGAGGAAGGGGCGAAAGAGAGCAUAUAGCUGGAAAGUACUGAGUGGUGGCCAUAGAGAGCACUACAGACUAUAAAAGCCGAGAGCACAGCAGCGACGACCAAAACAGAACCGUGAGAUCUAAUCGGCGUUCAGAGUUGAAUGGUUGAUCUAAGUGGAGCAGGGCACCUUUGCUUGUGAUAGUUUUUGAGCCUGAUAUAAAAACCGGUAUUGAAGCAGCAGAUCAUGCAGCAGAAAUACGGAAAUUGGUUCAGUAUUUGGGAGUGAACAAUGACAAUAUAAAAGCUUUUUCUAUACUAACAGUGGUGGGUGCUUUCAGUAUCUAAAUCACUAUCAGCAGAAGUACAUAAUUCAAGGUUCACCCCAUUAUGUACAAGAACAAAUAUAGUGGAGAUCAUGGUUCUCUAUGAAUUUUGGUAGAUAUUUUUACUUAAUGUUUCUUUUAUGGUUCCUUUUUGAUAUGUUGAUUUUACUAAAAUUAUUUGGGAUCUGAUUUCUAACAACCAGAAUUUACUAAAAAUGAAAAUGGGC